UGGGGUCAGUUGAGCACAGCGCUGGUGGUGGUGGGGUCGGAAGCUUCGUCCUGAGCGGGUAGAGCAGGAACGUCCUUCCUCAUAAGAAACUGACUCACCCGAAUGCCUCCCAGUGGAGACAGAGAGGUCCGUGGAGCUGGCUUCGGGGCCUCACAGGCCACUUUCCUCUCGUGCUCUGGGAGGAUUGCAGGGCAUUUUGCCCAGACUCAGAUUAGCCCGUGGUUCCAGCCUUUGCCUGGGUGACACGGGCAAAGUCACCGGGGAGCCACGGCAGAGCUGUUCCUCCAGCGGGAAGAAAAAGCUGAGGUUAGCGAGUGAGGAUGAACGCGUGGAAGCUGAGUGUUGGAGGGAAAGCUUCAGAGAAGCUUCUUGGGGUUGAGUUUGUGUGAUAGGAAAUAUUCCUCUUUGAUGAGGCAUUAAAAACAAUUUUUUUUUUGAAUGGUUAUUUACUUUUGAGAGAAAGAAAGAGAGAGACGAAGAGGGUGCGUGCAGGGGAGGGGCAGAGAGAGGGAGACCCAGAAUCCGAGGCAGGGUGCAGGCUGCGAGCUGUCAGCGCAGAGCUGGAUGCGGGGCUCGAACCCACAGACCACGAGGUCAUGACGUGAGCUGAAUGAAGUAGGACGCUUAACUGACCGAGCCAACCAGGCACCCGCCCCACCCCACCCCUGCCCCGCCUCCUUUAUUUAGGUGCAGGAAGGAUGCAUUUGCUCCCCGGUCAGGUUCCCAUGGUGGGGGAGACAGCGUUUCUGCCAUAAAUCAGGCCGGGCCGGCCAUGGCCUUUUCUCAAACAGGGCAAGGGCACUGGGGCUUCUGGGACGUCGGUGGGACUCUCGAGUAGGGUGGGCCCAGCGCCGUGGGAGAGCCCCUCUCGCUAUGCUCCAGCGGGGUGGCAAUAGCGAAGACAAUAGGCCAGACUUUUGUCCUUCACAGGGAGUUUCCCAAGUCACUGAGGCCUCACGACAGCCCUGCAGCUGGCAGGAAAGGGGUUUUUAUUUCUAAGCUGCUGAAACAGUCUGAGAGAGAAAAAACGACCCCGCGACAAAAGUGGCAGAGCCGGGAAUAGAACUCAUGCACCUUGUUGCCACAUCCUGCGCUUCUGGUUUGUCACUGCAUUUAUGUGUUGCAGAAGGAUUCGUGGGGGAAGGGUGUGGGGCCCAGGCUGGAGGAGACACAGCGGGGGUGGGCGGAGGUGGCAGCCUGCCUUCUCCCCGGGGGACAUUCUGGGCUGUGUGGUCCUCUCUUGCCCAGUUGAGCCGCCCCUGGGGCUGCCAUGGGGAGGGCCCCGGGGCUGAGGCCAAACGACAGAGCAGGCUUCUCGCGUGCCUGUGGCCUUCUUGAGUGUCCUGACUGUCCGUUGUCCGCAGCUGCUCUCCCUGCAACCCCCAAGGCUCCUGGCUCUGGCCUGGGGAGGCGAAUAAUGGCCACAUGGAUAUCUUCUGGAAGCAUCUGAGUUCCUGGUCCUGGGGGAAGAAGGGAUGGGGUGUGGGUUGAAGAGAGCACAAAGGAGCGGGAGAAACCUCAAAGGCACAGGGCCCAAUCUUGGGGAAGCCUUCUUGGGCGCCCGGAAACUCAACGUAUGCUGCAGAGACCCCUACUGGGGAGAGAUGUAAUUACAACACGGUUCCGCGCUUGCGCAGACACACAGGGCCUGCAGCAGGUCCGCGCAAGGGUGGGAACCCAGGCUUUGGGGUCCGAGCCACCGGAUUUGGGUCUUGGAUCAGUCACGCAAUGGCUGAGACUCUGGGCAAGUUACUGGAAGCUCUCUGAGCCUGUUGAAUGGAAUAGGUACAAAACCUCCCCUAUGUAUCUCGUAGGGUUGUUCCGGGGGAAUCAAAGCAUACGAAGCGGGGCCCCUGGGUGGCUCAGCCGUGAAGCGGCUGACUUCUGCUCGGGUCACGAUCUCGUGGUUCAUGAGUUCGACCCCCGCUUUGGGUGAGCCCUGCUUUUCUCCCCACCCCACCCCUGCCCCUCAUGGGAUUCUCUCUCUUUCUCUGCUCCCCUCGCUCACUGGUGCCCUCUCUCUCUCAAAAUACAGUGGCCUCUCUCUCAAGGCCACUGACUUGGCCUUGAAAGCUCAAAGCUCUCCAACAGACGUGGGCAGAUUCGGCCUCUGUCUCUCCCUGUGCGUACUCAGGGUGGUGAGCCACCUCGGUGUCAGUGCCUCGUGCCUUCUGCCCGGUGAAGGGAGCGCCCAGGGUAGCUCUGCAGUCUUCCCUUGGGAAGUUUUGUACACGCAGCGCGGCUGGGCCGGCCCUGUGUCGCACCGAGCCCCAGGGUCGGUGACAACGGACACUGUGUCUUCACCCUGACUUGGGUGGCAGAAAGCAGAGGAGCCUCUGUGGCCUGCAGCCGGAUGCCUCUGGGACCCCGGACCGCUGUGUCCCGCGGAGGGUCUGUCCUCGGUGUCUCCUUGAGGCCCCGGGGACAGUGCCGUGGCCUCACUGCGCGGUCCAGGACGGUAACAGCGGCUCCCUCCCCGUCUCAGCGCCGCCCUUGUGUGCAGGGCCAGGGAUCCUGGGAGGGGACACGGUCGGGGAGACAGUGUUCGGUAGGUAUCCCUGGGGAGUCGGCCACUCGGCCCCUGGAGGUCCCAGCCGGGCAGGAAGUGGAAAAGGUUACCCGGAGCUCUGGACAGCUUGUCGCUGUUUUGCAACCAGGACCCGGAGGCAAACCAAUCCUGGCUGCUGGGACUUAGGGACCUUACAGCGAACGACUGUGUGUCCUCUCUGCAGAUCAGGUGCCCAAGGCUGCAGGGCCCUGGCCCCUCCGGAGCCUGGAUGACUCUGCCUAUUUGUCAACGCCACCAAGGAUUUCACCCUGCGGGUCUGUGGUGAGGGGGGGGCGGAGGGCUCACAUCUGAACUUUGACCUUUCCGCUCUGCCCUGCCUGACCAGGCCAGAGUCUCCUCAGAGCUCAAACUCUUCCUUUCGCGCACAGAGAAGCUGCGGGAGCCUGAUAUCGCUGCCAGUUCCCGGGUGGCGAAGGGUGGGGCCCGCUGUGUCCCCCUGACGGGCUCCCUGCGACAGGCCGGAGAGGACGUGUGGUACAGUCGGGCCCCACUUGGCCGGGUGGCGGGGGUGGGGGACCACUCUCAGCGUCACCUGGACUUCUGGGGUCGGUGACAGCUAUCGCUGCUCGGCCAGGAACCGGUCAGUCAGAGCUCAGGCUCAGUCCCCACCGGGCCCCUCUGCGCAGGUAACCCCCUCCUGUGAGCCCCCUCCUUGACAGCCUGGGCCUAGGUGCUUAGCAUCCCCACCUGGCUUCCUGGGGACUCCAGGGGUGGUCGAGGAAAAGGCGGGCGGGAUCACUGAGAGCAGUGAGUGUCUCUGGGGUGGCAGGAAAGGACGGUUCUGGUGCCAUCACCCCAGGGCCUGCUGUCCCGCUUCUGUCUGUCAGCCCCAGACCCUGCGCUUGGCUCACUCCUGGGUCUCCCCCGGCCCACCCGCUCCUGCAGACCCACUGAGGAGGAGCCCCAGACCUUGGCCGCGUCCUCAGAGAAGCCUGGAGCUGCUCUGAGAGGGAGAUCUAGGCCGUGGCUCCUGUGGCAUCCAGGACGGCCUCUCCCGGUGUCCACAGGCCGCUGCGGGAAACCGCUUCGGUCCAAACACAUUCUGUCCCUCUCUCCUCUUCUUGGCCGACUUCUGGACGUCUCUCUGCUCCCUGUCUCUGAGUCCCAUGCUCCCCCCACCGAGCCAGCCAGGCGCCCCCCGAGCAUUUAGAAGGUGCCUGUGUUGUUGGAGGCUUCGAGGAGAGGUCUGGAUACAUCGCCACCCCUCUGGGAGCUCAGUCACAAUUGUUACAGUUCGCCCCUAACCCCACGAAAUGACUUGAGCGGGGACUGAGCGAGUUGUACGAGAGCCUUUGUCCGUGUCUGGCUUCUCCAUUGAAUGAGACCAACGCUCAUUCUUAGUUCCUUCUGUGUCUCCAAUAUACAGCAUGGAAUAGGCGUGAAACAUGCGACUCUGACGUGUAUUUAGGGAGCAGCCUGUGCUGGGUGUGACAGGACCCAAGGACACAUGGUCACGGGUUGCAGACGCUAACAUUCUCCCGGCCCUUCCAGGGCGUCCGGAGGGCAGUCUACCUCCUUCCCCCUGAUUCGGCUUCCUUAAGGGGCCUCCAGCCCACCCACACUUCUGACUUCUUUUCUUGGAAAUCCCUUCCCCUGUCUGCCUGUCUUCCAUUUCUUCUCUUUCCUUCCUUUUACUCCAGUUCCUAACCUGUGGUCAUUGUUUCAUUCAGCCUCCUUCCUACUUUGCUCCUUGAAGAAAGAAUUUCUUCUCUUUUUGGUCCUGGGACCUUUGCUGAUUGGAUACAUUCGACCUUGACACGUGGAGAAGUCAAGAGGAAUAAUGUGAGGAGGGGAUCACCCUGUCAGACACAGACAUGAGUGCCACCUGCUGCCGAACAUCUCCCGGUGAGAGAGGGACACCAAUCCCGAGUAAGACAUAAACCCUAUUUCAUUUGCAAACGGAGUUUGGAAUCGCCAACAAGCUGUGACAUAGCUUCGGUUUAAAACAACCUUUUCGGGGGCACCUGGGUGGCUCAGUCAGUUAAGCAUCCACCUCUGGAUUUUGGUCCAGGUCAUGAUCUCACAUUUCGCGAGUUCGAGCCCCAUGUCUGCACUGACAGGGCUGAGCCUGUUUGGGAUUCUGUCUCUCCCUCUGUCUUUCUGUCUGCCCCUUCCCUGUGCUCUCUUUCCCUCUCUCUUUCAAAAUAACUGAACUUAAACAAUAAAAUAACCUGUUUAUGUUUUGUUUAAUCUUAUUUUAUUUCAUUAUUAUUUUUUAAUGUUGAUUUAUUUUUGAGAGAGCCAGAGCACGAGCGGGGGAGGGGCAGAGAGAGAGGGAGACACAGAGUCCGAAGCAGGUUCCCGGCUCCGAGCUGUCGGCACGGAGCCCGACGCGGGGCUCGAUCCCACGAACCGUGAGAUUGUGACCUGAGCCGAAGUCAGACGCUCAACUGACUAAGUCACCCGGGUGCCUCUGUUUAAUCAUACUUUAAAGUGUUCAGAAAGAGAAGAGGGCUUAUUCAUUUUAGAAAAGUCGAACGUUUGAAACAUAAGAAGGUUCAUGAAGUGAUUAAGUGUUGUGAAUAUGUGUAUUCAUCUUCUGUUAACAUUGAAGGAAAUGGGCCCAGAGGCAACUUCAAUUUUAUCUCCUCGGAGCAGCCUUUUGACCACCUUACUUAAGCAAAUCUUUCCUCUUAUUCAUAAUCGUUGUACUCAGCUCAGUUUGGUCAAAUUAUCACAAUCCGUAAAUAAAUACUUAUUUGUUGGUC